ensembl:lncRNA
GUCGCAAGCUACAAGAAACUCAAUUAUCUUGUGGAGUGCUGGAAACGUCAAUGAAAUCUUGCUCAGCAGCCAUGGUUGGUGUGUUUCUUCUUGCGUAAUCUUUUAUUUACACACAGAUAUAUUUGCUUAAGUCUGAGGUGCCAGUGGGAAGUAAUGUUGAAUUCAACUGCAAAACAUUCAAUCCUUUACCCAAAAAACAGUCCAGGAACAUGAUCUUGGUUUAUCUAAUCAAAAAUGGAAAGCCUAUUAAAGUUAAUAUUUGGGACACAGAGAAGAUGAUGACAACAUUCACCCUCAGAGAAGUCCAGUUGGAAGAUGCUGGGACAUACAGUUGUGUUAUAUUGUUAAACAUACUCCCUUACCAUGGAAUGAGACUUCGUCAAAAUAUUAAAGCUUAUCUUCAGAUAAUUGCGACAUCUAACAGCAGCAUUGACAAAGUCAUAACUGUCAUAAUGAGAUCCAUAGUCAUAAUGUGUACCAUAGUUUUACUUCUCAGUCUGUUUCUGGGAAUCUGGGCACUGAUCCGAAAACAAGGUAGUAUUUUCUCUAGAUCUAAAAUCACUG